GAUGAACGCUGGCGGCGUGCUUAACACAUGCAAGUCGAACGGGAAACCUUUUAUUGAAGCUUCGGCAGAUUUAGCUGGUUUCUAGUGGCGGACGGGUGAGUAACGCGUGGGUAACCUGCCCUAUACAGGGGGAUAACAACCAGAAAUGGUUGCUAAUACCGCAUAAGCGCACAGGGCCGCAUGGUCCGGUGUGAAAAACUCCGGUGGUAUAGGAUGGACCCGCGUUGGAUUAGCCAGUUGGCAGGGUAACGGCCUACCAAAGCGACGAUCCAUAGCCGGCCUGAGAGGGUGAACGGCCACAUUGGGACUGAGGCACGGCCCAGACUCCUACGGGAGGCAGCAGUGGGGAAUAUUGCACAAUGGGGGAAACCCUGAUGCAGCGACGCCGCGUGAAGGAAGAAGUAUCUCGGUAUGUAAACUUCUAUCAGCAGGGAAGAUAGUGACGGUACCUGACUAAGAAGCCCCGGCUAACUACGUG
rnacentral:rRNA from 1 species